CAUGUGCCUAUCGUCCCAGCUACUCAGGAGGCUGAAGUGGGAGGAUUAUUUGCGCCCAGAAAUUUGAGGCCACAGUGUGGUAUAUCAUCUGUCAAUAGCCACUGCACUACAAACUGGGCAUCCUAGCAAGAACCUGUAUCUCCAAAAAAAAAAAACUUGAAAAGUGAUUAAGACUAUCCACGUGUUUUUUCUUACUGUUUCUGUCUACUUCCUAAUCUGCAGAUCUGCAAAUGGAAUAAAUGCAAAUGGGAUAAAUGCAAAAUGGAAUAAAUGUCUGGCAGAAGUCAGAAUCUGGAAUUUUUACCAAUUUUGUCCAAUUUAAUUUUACAGUCAACUUGAUCAGCUACUGAGGUGUGUUGGAAGUCAUAGCCACAAUAUUUUGCAGCUCCUCCCAUCAAGGUAGUGUUUGUUUUCCCAGCCCUAGUAUUUGAGCUGGCCUUGUGCCUUGCUUUAACCAAUAAAAUGAGCAGAUGUGUUUCUGGGCUGGUUCUGAGACCUUAAGAGACCUUCUGCUUCAGUCUCUUGGGGUCCUGCUGGCAUGUAAAGAAGCUCAGGCUAAGCCAUGGACGGAUGAGAGACCACGUGGGGAGAUUCCCAACAAGUCCCAACCCACAUCACAUGGAAGAAAGUCAUACAGCAGCGCCCUCAUGCAGAAUGGUGGACCCAGAUGCACAUAACUUGCAAAGAAAUUGUCUGAAAGGAGGUGGCCGUCAGUCAGAGUGAAGAAGACAUGCCUUUCACCUUCCGCCAUGAUUGAGGCCUCUC
rnacentral:lncRNA from 1 species